rnacentral:rRNA from 1 species
CCUGGGGAUAACAGGCUUAUCUCCCCCAAGAGUCCACAUCGACGGGGAGGUUUGGCACCUCGAUGUCGGCUCAUCACAUCCUGGGGCUGUAGUAGGUCCCAAGGGUUGGGCUGUUCGCCCAUUAAAGUGGUACGCGAGCUGGGUUCAGAACGUCGUGAGACAGUUCGGUCCCUAUCCGUCGCAGGCGUAGGAAAUUUGAGAAGACCUGUCCUUAGUACGAGAGGACCGGGAUGGACGUACCUCUGGUGUACCAGUUGUUCUGCCAAGGGCAUGGCUGGGUAGCUGUGUACGGAAUGGAUAAGCGCUGAAAGCAUCUAAGCGCGAAGCCAACUUCAAGAUAAGAUUUCCCACCGCAAGGGUAAGACCCCAGAAAGACUAUCUGGUUGAUAGGUCGAAGGUGUAAGUGCAGCAAUGUAUUUAGCUUAUCGAUACUAAUAGGUCGAGGACUUGACCAAU